UCCGGUUUGACACCGGCAGUCUCCUAUGAGUCCCCGACAUGACUCGCUGGCAACUAACAACAGGGGUUGCGCUCGUUAUAGGACUUAACCUGACACCUCACGGCACGAGCUGACGACAACCAUGCAGCACCUUGUAACUUGCCCGAAGGAAAAGCUGUUUCCAGCCCUGUCAAGCUACGUUUAAGCCCUGGUAAGGUUCCUCGCGUAUCAUCGAAUUAAUCCGCAUGCUCCGCCGCUUGUGCGGGCCCCCGUCAAUUCCUUUGAGUUUUAGCCUUGCGGCCGUACUCCCCAGGCGGGGCGCUUAAUGCGUUAGCUACGGCACAGAAUCCGUGGAAGGGAUCCCACACCUAGCGCCCAACGUUUACGGCGUGGACUAC
rnacentral:misc_RNA from 1 species